AUGAACUUCCUGGAGGUGCCGACGCGGGAGAUGGCACAGGAGUUGGCGCCUCCCCCGCGGCUUCUCACCGACGAGGAUCGUCACGAGAACCGGAGGCAGGAGCGUCGUCUUAGCCUCGCCGAGAUGGACCAGGAAGCCAUGGCACUGUGGCGCCAACGCUUCCUGCGGGACAUCAUCAACGAGCAACAGUUCUUUGCGCAGAGGAGGAUGGAGAGGGAGGAAAGGAGGGUGGAGCGAGCCGCCUAUCGCGAGGACCGGCGUACGUGGAAGGCGGCCGCUGAGUUCAACAUCGAGCUAGGAGGAGCGUCGUCCUGGGACUCCGAAGACAAGCGGUACCUUGACGCCUUCAUUGUGACGUCGGAGGAGGACAUGACCGAGGUGGAGUCUGAGUCGGAGGAGGAGGACGAAGAGUAG
rnacentral:rRNA from 1 species